AGUCUUUGCAGUAAUGCAAGGCAUACGGCUCAGUAACACGUAGUCAACUUACCCUAUGGACGAGGAUAAUCUCGGGAAACUGAGCAUAAUACUCGAUAGAUCAUAAUGCCUGGAAUGGUUUAUGGUUGAAAUGAUUCGUCGCCAUAGGAUGGGACUGCGGCCUAUCAGCUUGUUGGUGAGGUAAUGGCCCACCAAGGCGAUUACAGGUACGGGAUCUGAGAGGAGAAGCCCGGAGAUGGGUACUGAGACAAGGACCCAGGCCCUAUGGGGCGCAGCAGGCGAGAAAACUUUGCAGUGUGCGAAAGCACGACAAGGUUAAUCCGAGUGAUUUCUGCUAAAGAAAUCUUUUGCAAGUCAUAAAACCACUAGUGAAUAAGGGGUGGGCAAGUUCUGGUGUCAGCCGCCGCGGUAAAACCAGCACCUCAAGUGGUCAGGAGGAUUAUUGGGCCUAAAGCAUCCGUAGCCGGCUCCGUAAGUUUUCGGUUAAAUCCAUGUGCUCAACGCAUGGGCUGCCGAAAAUACUGCAUAGCUAGGGAGUGGGAGAGGUAGACGGUACUCGGUAGGAAGGGGUAAAAUCCUUUGAUCUAUCGAUGACCACCUGUGGCGAAGGCGGUCUACCAGAACACGUUCGACGGUGAGGGAUGAAAGCUGGGGGAGCAAACCGGAUUAGAUACCCGGGUAGUCCCAGCUGUAAACGAUGCAGACUCGAUGAUGCAUUGGCAUAUAGCCAGUGCAGUGUCGCAGGGAAGCCGUUAAGUCUGCCGCCUGGGA
rnacentral:rRNA from 1 species